CGACCCCAGGUCAGGCGGGACUACCCGCUGAGUUUAAGCAUAUCA
rnacentral:rRNA from 3 species